CGUGUAGGCGGUCAGGUAAGUGGGAUGUGAAAUGCCCCGGCUCACCCGGGGACCGGCAUCCCAAACUGCCUGGCUUGAGUAUGGGAGAGGAUGAGGGAAUUCCUGGUGUAGCGGUGAAAUGCGUAGAUAUCAGGAGGAACACCGGUGGCGAAGGCGCUCAUCUGGCCCAAUACUGACGCUGAUGCGCGAAAGCUAGGGGAGCAAACGGGAUUAGAUACCCCGGUAGUCCUAGCCGUAAACGGUGAUCACUAGGUGUUGGAGGCAUCGACCCCUCCAGUGCCGCAGCUAACGCAUUAAGUGAUCCGCCUGGGGAGUACGGCCGCAAGGUUGAA
rnacentral:rRNA from 1 species